CCCAAGGAGGGAACACCUGAGAUCACGGGGUCUCUGCUCAUCAGAGCCAUUAACCUGACCACUCCAUGUGGUCUUCUAGGAGCAGCAAAGGUUUUCACAAAGUGGCUUACACAAGAACAGUAAAGUGAUUUUUCUAUGCUCCAGCAUGGGUGAGAGGGUCUGGAGAAAAUUGGAUUUGAGUCAUCAGCAGAACAAUGUUCAUAAAAGUGCAAGGAGCAAGUAUCCCAUUCACACAGGAGAUUUUGCCACUGUGGACAAAAUUCAGCCUACUUCUUGUGGUGUAUUGAGAAAGGCAAAGGAGGACAUGACAGGUAUGCCAUCAUGUGCUACACCUGGAUGCUGCCUGCUCUCACUGUAUUCCUGCAGUGUGGAAAUACAGCCUGGGGGGGUUACAUUUUUGUAGCAGUUUCUUGGUCAUCUUGACAGCUGCCUGUGUGUUUUCAGCAAAGAAGACAUGAUGCAAAGAAAUUCUUAUGUCUGAAUUCUGUUCAUGUUACAAAGUAUGCAGCAUUCCCAAAUGCUGGGUGGAGCAAGAUGAGUUACAUGUUGUGUCCUGAAGCUUUUACAUAGAGGAAAACAAAUCCCUGGCAUUCAGUUAUACAGACUGCACUUUCUUAUACUUAAGGGAUCUAAUUUCCAAUUAAUGUUUGGAUGAUUAACUAUAAAAAAAUGGUGUAACUUGUGCCUGGCAUCUUUAUAUUAGCUCUGAGGGCUUUCUGAUAUUUACAGAUAACCCAACCAUUUGCACUGCAGCAGGAAACUUGGUAUUGCCUACUCUUGCACUAAAACUUAGUGCAUUUGGCCAGCUCUGCUAAAAAUGAAUUAAAAUUAAUAUCAUUUUCCAGAUCUUAAAAAA